ensembl:lncRNA
AUGGUUAAGGUAUUUUUCAUUGGCAUUGGAUUUGCCGAGAGGUAUCUUGAAGAGAUCAAGGUCGAUCUCCAAAGACGACUUUGUGUGACUGAAGUCGGAGAUGAAGUAGAAUGUGAUGUAAUCGUGGCCCUCUGUCCAAUCGUCUCUCGAGCUGGAACUGAUGUUGAGGCUGCACUGAAUGUGAUUCCAAGCUCAAAGCCUACACUUGUUAUGGUGCUUCAUCGCACAAUCGACCCGGAUGACAUAAUACCCAACACCCAGAAGUAUGUCGAAGGGAGAGGAAUGACGCUGGACCUGCUUUUCAAUGAGGAAGGAGGACUACUUUCUUGCAGAAGAAAUGAGAACUCCAAGGGAUUGGCUGCCAUUUUCCUCAGCCAAUAUGAAACACCUAGCCCUAGAUACAGUGAUAUCUCUUCAAAUGCCACACGUUUGCCUAUAGGCAAUAUUGUGGUCUUUUUUCUGUUUAUUUCACUUCUUGCCUUUUUAUUCGUUCUUGUUGUUGUGCUAUUACAUGGAACAGUUUUUAACUAACAUUCUGGUUAGCUAACUCAAUCAAGAUCAAAUUAUUUGUUUUUUUCUAGGCUAUUUACAUAGGCUACACUACUAUUACUACAAAACAUGAGCAUUAGCCAACUGAAAUCUGAUAGGCUAUCAGAACCCUAAACUUAAAAUGAAAAUUGGGCUUAAAUGCCAGAAGUGUUUUGUUAAGUCAUAUAUUGGCAAUACCAACAUGUUUUAUUUGAAAACAUUAAAAAGGUGAAGAACAAUCAGCAGUAAGACUUACAAAUGUCAUUUGAUUUAAGAGUGAAUUGUAGUUUAUUAGUUGUAAUUACUCAAACUCCUUGCAUCCUGAAACUGCCCAUCAUCUCUAACCUUUUAGCCAUUUUAUUUAGCUUUAGGCUACUGCUGGGAAAGGUCAAAUCAUGUGAACAGGCCAUAACAAAACACUUCAGUGUUCAGUCAACAUUUUGUGUCCACACUUAUUUCAGUAGGCUACCUACUAAGCUCUAUUCAGACACUUUCACUAUUCAGAGGCUGUUCAUCAAUUGAAAUGACCUAAGAUGAUCUAGUCUCUAUUUCAUAUAGGAAACUAUUCAUAUACUAUUUCAUAUAGUGCUUCUUCCAUGACACUUUGUCAGCAGAAGUAGAUAGAAUUAAAGAAAUGGCAAGUUGAUGUUUGUUUUUCUGUCUGCACACUUGUUUAUUUUCUGUAAUAAAACUCCAAACAGACGUGAGUUCUGCA